rnacentral:rRNA from 1 species
UACGGGGGGGGCAAGCGUUGUUCGGAAUUACUGGGCGUAAAGGGUUUGUAGGUGGCUUGCUAAGUCAGACGUGAAAUCCCUCAGCUUAACUGGGGAACUGCGUCUGAGACUGGCAAGCUUGAGUGCAGGAGAGGAACGCGGAAUUCCAGGUGUAGCGGUGAAAUGCGUAGAUAUCAGGAGGAACACCGAUGGCGAAGGCAGGUCUCUGGGCAUUAACUGACGCUGAGGAGCGAAAGCAUGGGGAGCGAACAGG